rnacentral:lncRNA from 1 species
GCCUCCUUGAGCUGUGGUGGGUUCCACCCAGUUGGAGCUUCCCGGCUGCUUUGUUUACCUAAGCAAGCCUGGGCAAUGGCGGGCGCCCCUCCCCCAGCCUCCCUGCCGCCUUGCAGUUUGAUCUCAGACUGCUGUGCUAGCAAUCAGCGAGACUCCGUGGGCGUAGGACCCUCCGAGCCAGGUGCGGGAUAUCAUCUCGUGGUGCGCCGUUUAAGCCAGUCGGAAAAGCGCAGUAUUCGGGUGGGAGUGACCCGAUUUUCCAGUUUGCUCCUUUCCUCUCAUGCCUGGUCAGCCAGCCUGCAUGAGGUUCUCUACGUUUGAGACUGGCUUCUCCACGGAACUUGGUCUGUAGCCACAGAGCAAACUGCAGGGCCAUUGACAGAGAAUGAAGAGGAGAGUGAAGAGUGGAACACAUCUAAUGUGUUCUCUGGAGGUUCAUACAGUCACCAGGAAGCCCAUGUCUUGGCAUGAUAACCUGGAGGAACCUGCAGAUGAUCAACCCAGAACGCCAUGACCGCAGGCUGAAUCACUUCAGGGUCUGCAGUGACAUCACUCUGUACAAGGCUAAAACGUGGGGCUUAGGAGAUGAUCACCACAAGUAGCAUCCCAGCGGAUGAGCCCAUCUGUGGAUCUAAUGCCUUAAGUGUGCACAGCCCAGAGAAAUAAAAUACUACUUUAAAACGAAGUUUCACUUUUCUCAUUUCUGGUCAAGUCCACUGAUUGAAAUCCUUGUGUGGUAAAGCAAUGUGAGAAAUCAGAUAAAGAUGGUGGGCUAAUUGCAUACAAUCAUCUGCUCUGCCUUCCUAAUAGUAAUAAAGGAUCACAAAGGGAUACAAAACCCACCACUGAGAGAAUGGAAGGAAAAUGUUACCAAUAGAAAAAAACUGGAAGUGUGUUCAGGAGAUAGAAAGCUGAUGGAGGAGGAUGGCAGGAACUACAAAAUGCAAGCUGAUGGAAUGCCUCUGGGCACAGGGUUUCCAGAACUCUAGAUAGAGGUUCAGGACUCUGAGACAGAGUGAGGUGUGAA